rnacentral:rRNA from 1 species
ACACUCCUACGGGAGGCAGCAGUGGGGAAUAUUGGACAAUGGGCGCAAGCCUGAUCCAGCCAUGCCGCGUGAGUGAUGAAGGCCCUAGGGUUGUAAAGCUCUUUCACCGGUGAAGAUAAUGACGGUAACCGGAGAAGAAGCCCCGGCUAACUUCGUGCCAGCAGCCGCGGUAAUACGAAGGGGGCUAGCGUUGUUCGGAUUUACUGGGCGUAAAGCGCACGUAGGCGGACUAUUAAGUCAGGGGUGAAAUCCCGGGGCUCAACCCCGGAACUGCCUUUGAUACUGGUAGUCUUGAGUUCGAGAGAGGUGAGUGGAAUUCCGAGUGCAGAGGUGAAAUUCGUAGAUAUUCGGAGGAACACCAGUGGCGAAGGCGGCUCACUGGCUCGAUACUGACGCUGAGGUGCGAAAGCGUGGGGAGCAAACAGGAUUAGAUACCCCAGUAGUCCC